UGGGGAAUUUUUGGACAAUGGGCGCAAGCCUGAUCCAGCCAUGCCGCGUGAGUGAAGAGGGCCUUCGGGUUGUAAAGCUCUUUCGGUCGGGGACGGAAACGGUCCGUGCUAAUACCACGGACUACUGACGGUACCCGCAGAAGAAGCACCGGCUAACUACGUGCCAGCAGCCGCGGUAAUACGUAGGGUGCAGGCGUUAAUCGGAAUUACUGGGCGUAAAGCGUGCGCAGGCGGUUUGUUAAGACAGGUGUGAAAUCCCCGGGCUUAACCUGGGAACUGCGCUUGUAACUGGCAGACUGGAGUGUGGCAGAGGGGGGGUGGAAUUCCAAGUGUAGCAGUGAAAUGCGUAGAUAUUUGGAGGAACACCGAUGGCGAAGGCAGCCCCCUGGGCUAACACUGACGCUCAUGCACGAAAGCGUGGGGAGCAAACAGGAUUAGAUACCCUGGUAGUCCACGCCCUAAACGAUGUCAACUGGUUGUCGGGGAAGCAAUUCCUUGGUAACG
rnacentral:rRNA from 1 species